ACGGAUAUUUAAUAUUUGUAUUUAUCAAAAUGUACAUGAUAAAAACUCUGAGUAAAUGAAAAUCACAAUUUUAUUUAUAUUUUAAUUAGUGUAAAAUUUAAAAUUGGUAAUUAUCAUAUUUGAAUCUUGCAAAGUCCUUUUUUUAUUUAAGUAACUAUUUUUGUUAUUUUUAGUUCGGAAUUUUUCGUACCUUUCUGUUGUGAAUUGCAUUCUUAUGCAAAUCAACUUGCUAAUUUCUGUUGGUUUUAAAUCGGACGUUCUAUUCUUUUGUAGUUUAGAAUAGAGUUCUUCCAAUUCCUAAACUUCCUUCUAAUUUAUUUCAACUUUAGAAAUUUUAUAUUGUAUUUGGCAGUGACUAUUGUUUUAAUCUGAACCAUUGUAAUUGUGUCGUACAUAGAUGGAUGGAUUGAUAUAUAUAUAUAUAUAUAUAUAUAUAUAUAAAUAUAUAGAAACACAUUCGAUCACUUAUUGCACUAUGGAUGCCUAUCAGUAUGACAUAAUUAUGAGGACAGUAAUUUGAUUUAUGGUUCAAUUCUGUAUGUGAAAAUUUAGCCCUAGUGUUCACCCAUUAUUGCAAUAUUAUUUCUUAUAGGACGGCUUAAUAAAUUUGCCUGGCAAUUGGCAUAUGUAAGCAUAAGUGAAACUGGCCUUUUCACUUUCUACAACCUGUUGGCUUCAGUAGAGGCUAUAGUGCCAUGGUAUUGAUCCUUUUUUUUUCCAGGUCGGCCAAAAGUUCGGUCGACCAAUUUCAUUAAGAUUGGGAGAAAGGAUCAUUACAAUAGAAGCUUACAAUGACAGUAUGCUGUCGAAAUAAUUGGGGAAAAAAACCCCAACCAUGUAAGCCAUGAGCCCCAUUCGAUGGCCUCAGCAACUGCUCGUUGACGGUCAAAUGUGCUUUGAUCUUUCUUGGUGUUACCAGUUACUGAAGGAUCUUCAUCCUUUCUGUUCUGGGGUUCAGCGUUAAUCCUCUCUUCACAACCUGCGGGUACUUCUGCGAGGAAUCCCAAUGCAACAACAAUGUCACUCAUAUAUGGCCGAACUGAGGCUUCAUCUUCUAUGCAUAUCGCUGCCACGGCCGCAGCUUGGUUAAAAUCUUUGUCUGGAUAGUCACCUCUAAGAAGAGGGUCUACCAGCUCAUGGUACCUCCUCCGAUCAUGAAGCAUGGGUUUGGCCUGUUGACCACAAACAAAUUCAAUGAUCAGAAACUUUGUAGAAGGGCAUCUUAUUUGACUAAUUACUAUCAAAAAUUUCAUAGCAUUUUUUUUAUGUUCCAUUUGUUUGAAUUAUAUGACCAAGUUAUAGAAGUGGUUGUACUCUGAUAAAAAAAAUGCUGGUCUAGUUAAGUGUUUUUAGUGCAUACCCAGUAAGCCAGGAUUUGUUCACAAACUGGUCUGCAGGUAUCCACAGCUCUUCUUCCUGUGAUCAACUCAAGUAGAAAAACCCCAAAACUAUAGACAUCAGUCUUGGUACUUAGCAUGCCUGUUCUUACGUAUUCUGGAGCACAGUACCCAAAUGUGCCCAUCACCCUAGUUGAGACAUGUUUGUCUCCCUCAAAAGGGCCUAGCUUUGCAAGCCCAAAGUCUGACAGUUUAGGAUUGUAAUCCUUGUCAAGAAGGAUGUUGGGGGACUUGAGAUCCCGGUAUAUGACAGGCGGACUCAUCUUCUCAUGGAGGUGUUCAAGCCCCUUUGCGGUUCCAUGUGCUAUCUUCAUCCUGGUACGCCAACUCAGUGGUUCUUGAUCUGGUGUAAUGUCUGCAAUAGCAAUUCAGCUUAUUAGUCUUUGUUGAAUCUAGUUGUUAAGUUUCUGCCAACUGCUAACAGAUAAUCAUGUCACACUGUUGUCUGAAUAUACUUCGUAGUAUUUUCCUAAGCUAACAAUGUUGCGAUCAAAAGCAUAUAUUUUUUGGUUUCCAGAUAAGCAUUUGCAAUUGAAUGUGUUAGCUGAGGAAAACAAAAAGACCAGCACUUACCAAGCAAGUGGUCAGCAAGUGAGCCAAGGGCCAUGUAUUCAUAUGCCAGUAGUCUUUGAUCUCCAUCUGAGCAGUAGCCAACCAAGUUGACCAGGUUUGGAUGGUUUAAGUGCCCGAGUAUCAUGACCUCAAUUAGGAACUCCCUGUUUCCCUGAAAUCCAUUACGUUCCAUUUGCUUGACAGCUACAACCUGAACAUUUAUUGGAAAAUAAUUGAAUCAAUUUCAGACAAGUGAGCAACAUUUUAUCUGAAGAGUAUUUGCCACCAAUCAUUAUUGUAUAUACCUGGCCAUCUUCAAGCUGGCCCUUGUAGACCCUGCCGAAGCCCCCCUCUCCCACAAUACAGUCAGGAUGGAAGUUGUUGGUCGCUGUCGCUAGCUCACGGAAUGUGAAUGAUCUUUCAGCUUUGGCAGUAAUUGGAAUUCGUUUGGGAGGUUCAGUAUUUUUCGCUGCUACAGAUGAUUUCUUGUUGUUUGAAUGGCCACGUGGCGACUUGUCAGAUUCUGCAGUCAUAAGUUGUAGGAUAUAUUAGACAGAAAUACAGAAUUCCAAUUUGUGCUUAUUUAUCUAGACUAGUACAAGAUUACAAAAAUAUCAAUUGUUUAUAGUCUAUCCAUGUCAUAUUUGCAGAAAUCAUUUUGAUCUGUCAUGGUUUAUAUUUUGGACUUAAUGAUACGUGACAAGAAUGAGUGUGACAUGACAUCAAAUGCAUGUAUCACUGGCACAAAAGUACAGAACAGAUAAUACAGAAUAUAAUGGUUAGGCAGAUUUAAUUUAGACAAAUACAGUAAUAUAUAUACACAGGUAUCCAGAAGGGACUAAUGUGGCGCAGGAGUGCUUUUUGUCCUUAGACAAAGGUACAAUGUAUGUCUGUCAGUAGAGGUUUAAUGGAAUCUAAUCUACAUAGUGAUUGCAUGGAAGAAGGGAAGAUAUUAAAGGACUUCAAAUCUUAGAGGUUUUCUAGAACAGUGCAUCUUCUAGUUUUUGUUUGUCUGAUUUUGAGCUGAUGCUGCUACCACUCAACCUAAUUUAUGCUCAGUUUGAAUGAAUAGCAUAUGAAUUAUCUUUUUGUUGGUAAGAUUUGCCUUACCAGAGUUCUUGAGGGAUGAUCCAUGUUGUGAGGAGGCUUUCUUCACAACUGUGAACGGCAUCUCCUCCAUCCUCUUUGACAGCAUCUUCUUGUCAGGCUUGAAGCAUGAAAAGAAGCUCAUCUCUGCUCACUGGGCAGCAAGGUUAUACAGGCUCCCUUCUCCUUUGCUAAAGAUUCUGUUGUCAAGUCACAGAUUGUUCUUGAACAUGCGCAAAAACAAGAGGAGCAUUUUUUUUGUUUGUUUUUGAAGGGCCACAUUAGGAGCAUUUUCUUCAUGCUUCUAUGGAGGAGUGUGCUGAACCAAGAAUAGAAGUCUCUUUGUUUUUGGGCCAUGGUUGAAUUCUAAAAUUAGAUAGGGUGCACUGUUGAGAAUUACCGUCUUCGCGAGCAUCCUGGAUGCAACUUCCUACUUAGAAAGUUCAGGUUCUAGUAACCGAAUCCGCUGGAUUUUUACUCAUGUUGUCUUCUUGGUUUGAGUUUUAGAAAUUGGACUGUUUUGUCUUCCUAUCAGUUAUUGAAGUGAUCUGAUCUGGAUUGUUCAAACUUGAUCAAAAACUGUUUGGUCACU